GACGUAGAAGAUCACGAUGGGGACGAGCAAGACCAAGUGACAUCACUAGGUGCUGGUGAGUCCACCUGAUGUCCUGCCUGUGCUCUGCCUUUGCACUCUUCAGCAACUUUGAGGUCAGCAGGACAGACUCUCCACUGCGCACAGUGAUGACCUCUACAGCUGGGGUCAAAGGUUAGGCACAUCACAAGACUGUUCUGAGGUUCACUGCAAUGUGAUGCAAUGGCCUUCCUGCUGAGGCACCUGACCUUCCUGUUGAGGAAUCUGAUCCACUUGCUGGGCUACCUGUCCUACCUGUGGAGGUACCUGACCUACA